GGUUUAGUAGUCUAAUUGGUAAGACAUCCGACUUUGAUUCGGCAGUUAGAAGUUCAAGCCUUAUCUAUUUUA
rnacentral:tRNA from 1 species